UUGAUAUUACAUUGCUGACAUGAGCACAUUUUGAUUACCAGUAUGCUUCUUGCCAUCAUUUUAUACUAAUGAAUGGUUACAAGCAGAAUCAUUUACGUGAAAUAUAUAGUUGACAGCUGUUAUACUUUCACAAUUCACUGGCAAUUAUAUAGUUCUUAAUUUGUUCCUGGCUUCGUGCUCUAAUAUUGCAGUCAUGUGACUUGCUGCCCAA
rnacentral:misc_RNA from 1 species